rnacentral:misc_RNA from 1 species
GAUGAAGAACGCAGCGAAACGCGAUAAGUAAUGUGAAUUGCAGAAUUUAGUGAAUCAUCGAAUCUUUGAACGCACAUUGCGCCCCCUGGUAUUCCGGGGGGCAUGCCUGUCCGAGCGUCAUUACAACCCUCAAGCUCAGCUUGGUAUUGGGCCCCGCCGACCCGGCGGGCCCUAAAGUCAGUGGCGGUGCCGUCCGGCUCCGAGCGUAGUAAUUCUUCUCGCUCUGGAGGUCCGGUCGUGUGCUCGCCAGCAACCCCCAAUUUUUUUCAGGUUGACCUCGGAUCAGGUAGGGAUACCCGCUGAACUUAAGCAUAUCAAUAAGCGGAGGA